rnacentral:rRNA from 1 species
CGGGAAAAGCUCAAAUUUAAAAUCUGGCGGCUUCGCCGUCCGAGUUGUAAUUUAGAGAAGUGCUAUCCGCGCUGGACCGUGUACAAGUCUCCUGGAAUGGAGCGUCAUAGAGGGUGAGAAUCCCGUAUGUGAC